AACGAACGCUGGCGGCAUGCCUAACACAUGCAAGUCGAACGAGACCUUCGGGUCUAGUGGCGCACGGGUGCGUAACGCGUGGGAACCUGCCUUUAGGUUCGGAAUAACUCAGAGAAAUUUGAGCUAAUACCGGAUGAUGUCUUCGGACCAAAGAUUCAUCGCCUUUCGAUGGGCCGGCGUUGGAUUAGCUAGUUGGUGGGGUAAAGGCCUACCAAGGCGACGUUCCAUAGCUGGUCUGCGAGGAUGAUCAGCCACACUGGGACUGAGACACGGCCCAGACUCCUACGGGGGGCAGCAGUGGGGAAUAUUGGACAAUGGGCGAAAGCCUGAGCCAGCAAUGCCGCGUGAGUGAUGAAGGCCUUAGGGUUGUAAAGCUCUUUUACCCGAGAUGAUAAUGACAGUAUCGGGAGAAUAAGCUCCGGCUAACUCCGUG
rnacentral:rRNA from 1 species